UUUUCAAAGUGACAGAUAGAGUUUAGUGCAGGUUUGGGAUUUGUUGUGGUUUAGGAUUGCUAAUUUGAUCUGCUUGCUAUCUAACUUGCUCGACUGAAUCUUUGCAUUGAAUCUAACCCUUUUCUUUUGUAAACCUUUUUUUUUUUUUUUUGGAGUGGCUUGCAAAACAGGAUAUUUAGGAAGGUGUUUACAAGCUUAGGCAAAUCUAGAGAGAACUUUGCUUUUACUUUUGCAGUCUGUGGUUCCAUUACUUGAUCAAAAACAAAAUAAGGAUAUUAUAAACUAUUAUUUUACUUGUUUUGAAUGGAAUUUCUCAAAAUCAGGGGUGUAUGCAGACUGUACUUACAGUGAUGUCUUCCUGAUGAAACCUGAUUUGAUGGCAAGGAGGAUACAUCUCUGUGACUGGAGAGCUGGACAUUGAGGGCUGGCAGUUUCAUGAGGUUGAAUUACAUCCAUUAUGCAACUGCAUAUGUUGCAUAAGACAGCCCUGCAAAUGGACAUUGGACAUGGCACAAGAAAAUCAUCUUUGUUUAAUCUAUAUUCUGCACUGUGGAUUACUAUGCUGUUUGGAUUAGGAAAACUGUGGACUGUUAUUGUCUGAAAAUGAAUGGCAGCUUGCUGUGACUGGAGAGCUGGACAUUGAGGGCUGGCAGUUUCAUGAGGUUGAAUUACAUCCAUUAUGCAACUGCAUAUGUUGCAUAAGACAGCCCUGCAAAUGGACAUUGGACAUGGCACAAGAAAAUCAUCUUUGUUUAAUCUAUAUUCUGCACUGUGGAUUACUAUGCUGUUUGGAUUAGGAAAACUGUGGACUGUUAUUGUCUGAAAAUGAAUGGCAGCUUGGUAAGAUUUUAAUUAUUUUUUUUUAUUUACAUUUUGACUUGACAAAUGUGGAUUUAAGUGUUAAAUAAGUAUUUAACAUAAUUAAUGCUUUUGCUGCAUGCAGGGUCAGUCAGUGAAUACAUCUGUGAUUGUAUCAAUUGUUUAUAAGUUGAAAAUUGAAAACAAUCAUGCCAUUUUUUAAAAAAAUUAAAUAAAAAACAACUAAUUAUUUUCAUGGCAAGUAAACACUUGUAGCCAGCCACACAAUUCAGUAUCAAGUCUAUCAACUCAAAAAAUUGAGGAAGGUAUGCAGCUUCAGGCUGUCUAAUUAGACAAAUUACCGGUAAGACGGUAUAGAGGCAGCUCUGCCAGCACUCUUGGGGACUUUUCCAAACAAAACCACAAGAUUAUCUUAUUCAUAACAGGGGUUUGAGUGUUUGCAGAUAAGCCUUAUUUUAUUUUAUUUCCACUAUACUUCUACCAUCAUUGUUAUGCAUAAUUUUCUCUAUUCUUUAUCCUUGAUUAUUUAAUUUUGCUGUUCUUGUUAUUAUUCUUGAUUUCUUUUAAUUAUUAAUACAAUUAUUUUAUCAUUGACACUCUAUUAUUAUACAUUUAUAUCAGAUUAGUACAAGUCAGUUGUUUAUGUGCUUUUGUUAGCAGUAAUUUGUAUAUCUAUUUGCAUAUUUAAAAAACAACAACAGUAUAAACACUUAAUAUAAAGUGGAACCAUAUUGGGUAAAUAUAACAAAAUAAAUAAAAAAAAUUCUUAGUUGGCACUGCAUCCGUCCAUCAAUCGAUCAGUCAAUAAACUGACCUUCACUUUAUCAUAUUAAUUCACGUUCUAUGGCACAUUAAGCAUGGAAUACAUAAUUUAUAAGCUUUUAUAUCUAGUGGAAAUUGCCCACGUUAAGACAUAAGGAGUGUUUCAGCCGCAGCAGAAGGCCACACUUUUGCAACAUUUGCAAUAUCAACCAUAAUAGGACCAAUUAAGACUAGCAUGAUUGCUCAUAAUGUGAUAUAAUGAGACUAAAUGAAACUUGUCCUAUUUUUAAGACAAUUUAAACAAGCAUUUAAACCACCAACAGAAAACAAAAAUCAGUCAUCAGCAGCACAUAAAAGCAAAAAGAUUUACAUCCAUUAUUACACUUAAAAUUGUUUCCUUUUAACAACUUUUCAUGCCUGCUCGGAGGUCUGUGCUGUGAAUGUAGAAAAUCACAUUCAGAUUUAUUUUGAGCAGGUAUGUUUUUGGAAAUAGCUAAAAAAAUACAUUGAAUGGGUCAAAUUGUAGAUUUUUAAAAAUUUUUAUGCCAAGAUCAUUACAACAUCAAAGAUCAUUUUCCAGUGAAGAUAUUUUGUUAAUUUCACACAGUAAAUAUAUAAAAAGUUUUAUUUUUGUUUAGUAAUAUGCGAUGCACUUAAUUUUGACAACUUUAGGUGUGAUUUUCUCAGUAUCUUGAUUUUUCUGAAUACAUUUACAAACAAAAGCAUGUAAAAAAAGAAUUUACUGCUGCUGUGUUAAUAUGGAGGAAUUUUCACACUUUUUUCUAUAGCUGUUUUACCAGUACUUUGAAUAACAUAAUGCAUUGUGCCCUGCUUUACAGUAAAAUUAAUUUCUAUUCACUUAAUAAACAAUGCCAUUUGCAGAAAAUGACCUGUACCUUUAUGUUUUCUAAGGAUUCAUUUUCCCUCAUAGAUUGCUGAUUCUUGCUUCAAUCAUUAUAUAUCAAUGCAUCAUUUACCAAUGCAAGCUAAAAUGAUUUUUUUUUCACAUUGUGACGUUUCCUUAGUCAAAUUCUUCAGCUAAAUCUGCGGUUGAGCCAAUGAUUACUGGUAUUUUCAGUCAAAGCAAAUACAAGCCCUGCUUAUUAUCAAGGUCUUAGCUGAAAGCAUGGUGAUUGGUGAUCCAUAACAUGCAAGUCCAUUUCCGUUAACUAAUGUUAAAAAAGAUGAAUACUGUUCAUUGUUUGUUCAUGUCAGUAAAAACAUGAACUAAUACAAAUGUACUGUAAAGUUUUAACCAUAACCUGAUCUCUAAUGUUAACAAACUAUAUGUUGAUUUUAAAGAUUAUUAAUUCUAAAUUCAUGUUGUAUAACCGUGGAAAUUGUUCUUUAUAUGUUUUAAUGAACUCCACACCUUAGUGAACACUGUCACAUUUAUAGAUCAAAAAUUGUUUUUGUUUAGAUAUUUAUAUUUAAUCUUUUUUCAUAAUCGUGAUAAGCCACAUAUCAGCAGAAAGGUCUGAUAGUAGUAUAGUCACCAUCUCUUCAUUAUGUUCUGUUGUAGAAGUGAAUUUGUCACAAAAAUAGAUGGAUUUGUGACAGCAUACAAAUCGGAUGUUAUUUGUGGAAUAACACCUAAACUAUAACAUUUUUAGAUUUCAAAAUGAAACAUUUUGAUACUUUACAUAAAAUAGAAAAUGUACAUACAAGUGAGGAUGCGUUUUUGUCAUUUCUAAAUAUUACGUUUAAAAAUGGCUUUUUAUAACCCCCCAGUUUUAUAUAGUUUUAAGUAUAUUUAAAAGUAUGACUGUAGUAAAAUAUAUCAACUCCCACUUGUGAAAUAAAAAUGGUCAUUUACAGGAAAACUCUAUCAAAAGAGUUAACGUAACUUCAUGGCAAAUACACUUUGAGUACUUAAUAGUACUAAAUGAAAGGGUUUGAGUUAACUUUUGAGUUAAUCAGGUUUUACAGUUUACUUUCAAAUAGACAAGUACAAUAAUAAAAGAACAAAGUCUCUAAGAAAUACUGGUAUUUUCAGUUAAAGCAAAUACAAGCCCUGUGUCUUAGCUGAAAGCGUGGUGAUUGGUGAUCUAUAACAUGCAAGUCAACACUUAAAGGGAUUGUUCACCCGGAAUUUAAAAUUCUGUCAUCAUUUACUCACUCUAGACUUGUUUCAAACCAGUUAUUUAUUUAUUUAUUUAUUUUUUUGUUCUGUUCUGAACACAAAAGAUGGCAUUUUGACCAUCACUUAAAACCUGUAACCAUUGACAUCCAUAGUAGUGAAAAAAAAAAACACUAUAGAAUUCCAAUGGCAACAUGUUUUCAACAUUCAAAAACAAACAAACAACUCAUUAAACAAAAGAAGAGAAAACAAAAAACUCCAAACUGGUUUGGAAACAAGACAAGGGCAAAAAACGAUGAUAUCAUUUCCCUGUUUGGUUGAUUUACCCCUUUACGAAUAAUGUGAGGAAGAAUAAUGAUGCAAAGUUUUAUCACACCAAACUGGAAAAGAUGGAAGAAUCUUGUUUAGGAAAAUAGCGGUGUGAUCAGCCACCAGGUUAAUAUAGUUCACUUUGCCCCUGCAUCAUUUCCUGUUUUAUGAGGUGACGCAUGAGGUGAUGUUAAAAAUGUGAUGUGAUUGGCCAAUCUAUGCUGUUUUUUAUUUUACUAUUGUGAGAAAUAUGAAGUGUGCACAGACAAGAUUUAUACAUAUUUUUGCAUUUAUUUUUAGCAUAUUCUCUCCGACAAAGAUUGCAUCACGAAACAUUCACAUGGGGUCAUAUACAGUAUAACUCUUUGUCAUGAACACUGGCAUUAAUAAAAGAUUUUUACAGUAA